AUACGGAGGGUCCGAGCGUUAAUCGGACUUACUGGGCGUAAAGCGCGCGUAGGUGGUUCAGUCAGUCAGAUGUGAAAGCCCCGGGCUCAACCUGGGAACUGCACCUGAUACUGCUGAGCUAGAGUACGGUAGAGGGCAGUGGAAUUUCCGGUGUAGCGGUGAAAUGCGUAGAGAUCGGAAAGAACACCAGUGGCGAAGGCGACUGCCUGGACUGAUACUGACACUGAGGUGCGAAAGCGUGGGUAGCAAACAGGAUUAGAUACCCUGGUAGUCCACGCCGUAAACGAUGUCAACUAGCCGUUGGGGGACUUGAUCCUUUAGUGGCGAAGCUAACGCGAUAAGUUGACCGCCUGGGGAGUACGGCCGCAAGGUUAAAACUCAAAUGAAUUGACGGGG
rnacentral:rRNA from 1 species